CAAGGGGGGCUGGAUGGCGUAGUGGUAAGUGCUGUUCAUGGAAUGCUUUCUCAAGUAGGCACUUGAUGUUGGGGCCAAUCUCUGCUGAGACAAGAAGGUAGUGGGUUCGAAUCCCAUCUGCUUCAAAAGAAUAUUAUCACAUCUUGGUGAAUAUUGAAAGUACCUUUUCUUAUCUCAUUUCUAUUGAUAACUGCCACUGCAGAGUGAAGCAAUAUUCAAUUGUGAGAAGUGAUCUAUCAUAUCAAGCAUUUUGAUAAUUAUAUAAAUAAGAAUCUUCUUUUAUUUCAAUUCUGAAAAUUAAAUCACUGUC
rnacentral:sRNA from 1 species